rfam:Enterococcus thailandicus strain F0711D 46 Ent-16_S35_L001_001_2, whole genome shotgun sequence.
UAGUCCUUUAAGUUUAGUCCCGUGAGGCUAAGAAGGGUGUGAGUAAUCAACCAUAUGGUGCGCUAUAUGUGUGAUGCUCAAUGACGAAGUAUAGCUAACAGUGCAACUGUAUUAGCUAUCUAUGAACGUACCAAAUUGUACAAUCAGUCUAAACAUACCUCCUGGCCUCUUAGGGCAGGAGUUUUUUUAU